AGAGUUUGAUCCUGGCUCAGGAUGAACGCUGGCGGCGUGCCUAAUGCAUGCAAGUCGAGCGACGCAUGCCGGAGGGGUAACCCACUGGUAUGACGGAGCGGCGAACGGGUGAGUAACACGUGAGCAACCUGCCCCACAGAUCGGGAUAGCCCAGGGAAACCUGGAUUAAUACCGGAUACCCUCGAACAACCUCAUGGCUGAUCGAGGAAAGGCCUUUGUGCUGUGGGAUGGGCUCGCGGCUUAUCAGCUAGUUGGUGGGGUAACGGCCUACCAAGGCAUCGAUGAGUAGCUGGUCUGAGAGGACGAGCAGCCACACUGGAACUGAGACACGGUCCAGACUCCUACGGGAGGCAGCAGCAGGGAAUCUUGCGCAAUGGGCGAAAGCCUGACGCAGCAACGCCGCGUGGGGGAUGAAGGCCUUCGGGUUGUAAACCCCUUUCAGGAGGGAAGAAAUUGACGGUACCUCCAAAAGAAGGACCGGCCAACUACGUGCCAGCAGCCGCGGUAAUACGUAGGGGGCGAGCGUUGUCCGGAUUCAUUGGGCGUAAAGAGCUCGUAGGCGGCUCAGUAAGUCAGGUGUUAAAGCUCCGAGCUCAACUCGGAGAGGCCAUCUGAUACUGCUGUGGCUAGAAUCCAGUAGGGGAGCGUGGAAUUCCUGGUGUAGCGGUGAAAUGCGCAGAUAUCAGGAGGAACACCAGCG
rnacentral:rRNA from 1 species